CCCCCACCCUGUAGUGCCUGUUUCUAAAUCUCAUUUAAACCUUUUAGACUAACAAGCCCAAUCUCGAAGAUCCAGUUGAUUAUUAAUAUGUAUUUAGCUGACAGACACCAUUUGAAGGUUUCGUAAUAAUUUAGAUAUUUUAUAAUCUUGUUUAAAUACAUGCGCUCCUCGCAGUAAAAUGCAGAAUAGGAGAUAAGAUACUCUGCAACGUAU